rnacentral:lncRNA from 1 species
AGCAGGGAAUGGGGCUAACAGAGCAGGGAACAGGGUAAUGUGGGUAACAGGGUGARGGUAUGGGGUAAUGGGGAGUAACAAGGGGUAAGAGGGGUGCAGGGGGACAUGUUACCCCCAUCACCCCGUUACCUCUGUUACCCCGUUAUUCCUCUCUUGCACCCACUUAUUUUUCUUUCACCCGUUACUCCCCAUUACCCCRUGUUUUCUCUCCAUUGCCCCACAUCCAAUACCCCUGGCCCCCCUCACCCUGGCCUGUUACCCCUUUUACCACUCUGUUACUCCAUAUUACUCCCAUUACUGUCUUCUACCCCAUGUUAUCCACUACCCCACAUCCCUAUUACCUUGUGUUACUCUCUAAUACCCCGCAUUGCUGCUCAUUGCCCUGUUGCUCUCCCUUGUCCCCGUUACAUGUCACUCUUUGUUACUCCUAUUACCCUAUUACUGCUCAUUACUCCAUGUUACUCCCCAUUGCCCCAUAUUGCUUCUCAUUACUGCUUGUUACUCCCCCUUACUCUAAUGCUCCCCAUUAUCCCUGUUGCACGUUACGCUCUGGUGCCCCGUGUUACUCCCUGUUACUUGGGUGCUCCCCCUUGUUCCCGGUUACCCCAUGUUACUUGUUUCUCCCUGUUACCCCAUGCUGCUCCAUCUCUAUUACCCUGUGUUACUCCACCCCACCCCAUGUUAUGCCCAUGUUACUCUGCAUUGCACCCCCAUUGCUGUGUGUUACUCCCCGUUACCCUCCCAUUGCUCUGCAUUACUCCCCGUUACUCUGACGCUCUCCCUCGUUCCUGGAUCCCUCGUGUUCCUCCCUGGUACUCCCCACUAUCCUGGCGCUCUCCCUCGCUGCCCAUCACCCCGCGUUACUCCCCGUUACUCGCCGUUACUCGCCGGGGCGCAGGCGGUGGUGGACGCGGCGCUGGUGCUGCGGGAGACGCAGCUCCGGGGGGGCCCCUCGCUGCCCCUGGCGCUGGUGGCGGCCGGGCAGGGCCUCUACGUGCUGCAGCGCCUGCGCCACGAGGUGCCCGGACGCCGGGGCCCACGGNNNNNNNNNNNNNNNNNNNNNNNNNNNNNNNNNNNNNNNNNN